UAGUAGAUCUUUUAAAUCAAAUUUGUUUCUUCUUGUAAAUUGCAGGAUUCUUUUGGUCCAAAAGAGGAACAGAGUCCUAAGAACAAUUAAGGUUCAAACUUAGAGCAAGCCAAAAAACUAUUUUGAUUGGAUAACCAAUUCACAAGAGUUCUAGAACUCCUAACAGAAACAUGAUGAAGAUGAAAGACCACAACCACGAUGAAGAAAAUAAAGUGUUGAAUUCAAUUGGCACGGCAUUUCUUGUUUUAUUGUCCCGGACAAAAUCAAUUGGUGCUCAAUCCAAAAUUGGAAGACAAGGAAGGUUUGCUCAAGAAGGAUCACAAGAUCACAAAUAUUUUCACAAGUGAUGAAUUCCAGAAUUUCAUACCUUAGAAAUUAUCUUUUAUUUAUACCAUAGAAAUACAGCAGUAUAUAGGUGAGAAUAUUAUAAAAUCUUAGAUGGAGGAGACUCAUCAGCAGCCUCUCUAAACAAUCAGCAGAUCCAUUUUUCGUUGCAAGUUCAACAGAGGCCUUUAGUACGGCAAAAAGAAAAGGUAUUUGACAUCUGACCUUACAUACACAAGCAAAAAACCAGCUAUAAUGGUCUGCAGACAAUGUUGGAGAUAGCAACUCCACUUCUAGUAACCUUUCCCGUCCAAACUCGUGCAACUUCAAUGGAGGUAUAAUGCUUCCUUCUGCCUGCCUAACAGAUUCAGCACUGUGCUUACAAUAUGUCCUGAAGAAAGUCCAGCUGCUUCAAUCUGAUCCUGAGGUGAUCCAUGGUCGAUGUAUCGGUCUGGUAGAACCAUUGGCCUCAGCUGCAAGACAAAUCAAAUCAAAAUCUGAAGAUAUCGAAGAUUUACAGUCAGAUUAGUAGUCUGUUAGAUUUGCUCAAGGAAAUUUUACCUUCAUGCGGCCAUCCAGGAGGCCACUCAAGCUCAAGAAGUGAGUGACAUGCGAUGCGAAACCUCCAAUGGAGCCUUCCUCCACUGUGAUCAAGAUCUCAUGCUCAUUUACCAGCCUUCUUAUGAGCCCCACAUCCAGAGGCUUACAGAAACGAGCAUCAGCUACGGUGGCAAAAACUCCACGGGCUCUCAGUGGGUCUGCAGCCUUCAAGCAUGUCUGUACUAUUGAACCAUAUCCAAGAAUGGCCACCCUGUUUCCUUCCAUCAGAACCCUUCCCUUCCCAAUCUGUUGAAAGUACGUAAACAAGUGACUAAGUUGCUUCUUGUUAUGAUCCUUCAUGACUCGUCGAGAAGAUAGAGGGAACCUCAAGAGGGGUGCCUUUGUUGCCCGGAGGAAGCAUCACACCAACUCCAUUCCCCCUUGGGAAUCUGAAGCAGCUAGGUCUGUCGUCGAUUGCCGCUGCUGUUGCGACCAUGUGCACUAGUUCAGCUUCAUCAGCUGGAGCCAUUACAAUCAUGUUGGGCAAACAUGCCAUGUACGUGAUGUCAAAUGCUCCACAGUGUGUAGGUCCAUCAGCUCCGACAAGACCAGCUCGAUCCAGAGCGAAACGGACAGAAACGAGGAAUAGAUGGCACAGAAAGGCUUGAGGCCUUCGGUGGCCAGACCGGCUGCAAAGGUGCAUGCUGCUCUGCAAUCCCCACAUCAAAGCAUCUUUGAGGAAACUUGUGUUGAAACAAGUUCAGCCCCGUCCCACUUCCCAUGGCAGCAUGAAUGGCCACAAUCUUGUCGUCGGCCUCUGCUUCUUUAAUGAGAGAUUCGGCAAAGUACCGAGUGUAUGAAAGGGUCGGUGAUGUUGACUUGAAUUGUUUCCCAGUUCUUGGGUCGAACUUCACAACACCUACAGCAAGAAACACAUGGAUCAUUAUGACAGUCGGGAAGAAGUCGGGCACAUGCAUUACAAGCAGCAAAUAAUGCUCACCAUGCAUUUUGUCAGCAGCCGCCUCAGCAGGGGGAUACCCCUUUCCUUUCUCUGUCACAAUAUGGAUAAGGACAGGUCCUGGAACAGGCAAAGACUUCACCUUCUCAAAGAUGGUAACCAAGUCUUCUACAUUGUGCCCAU